rnacentral:rRNA from 1 species
UACGGGGGGAGCAAGCGUUGGUUCGGAUUUACUGGGCGUAAAGGGCGCGUAGGCGGUCGUGACAAGUCACUUGUGAAAUCUCCGGGGCUUAACUCGGAACGGUCAAGUGAUACUGUCGUGCUAGAGUACAGAAGGGGCAACUGGAAUUCUCGGUGUAGCGGUGAAAUGCGUAGAUAUCGAGAGGAACACCUGCGGCGAAGGCGGGUUGCUGGGCUGAUACUGACGCUGAGGCGCGAAAGCUAGGGGAGCGAACGGG